rnacentral:misc_RNA from 1 species
GAUGAAGAACGUAGCGAAAUGCGAUAAGUAAUGCGAAUUGCAGAAUUUCCGUGAAUCAUCGAAUCUUUGAACGCACAUUGCGCCCGCCAGUAUUCUGACGGGCAUGCCUGUUCGAGCGUCAUUUCAACCAUCAAGCCCCCGGCUUGUGUUGGGGACCUGCGGCUGCCGCAGGCCCUGAAAUCCAGUGGCGGGCUCGCCGUAGCACCGAGCGUAGUAGCACACUUCUCGCUCCGGUAGCAGCGGCGGGCGCUUGCCGUAAAACCCCCCCUAAAAUCUCAAGGUUGACCUCGGAUCAGGUAGGAAUACCCGCUGAACUUAAGCAUAUCAAUAAGCGGAGGA